CCUGAUGAAGGAUUUAAGUCACUGGACGUCUGGAUCUUAAGUUAUCAGAGAAAAAAAGCAGCUACAAACCUGGGAAAAACCUGUUGAACUUCUGGUUCAUAAUUUAAGAAUCAAAGUUUUUCUUUUUAGGGCAUUUUUCCUUUAUUCAGGUCACUACAGUGAGAGAGAGAGGAAAGUCAGGGACAGAGAGAGAGAGAGGAUGACAUGCGGGCCACGGGUCGGACUGGAGCCCUCAGAUGACAUUGUCGGGAAGAACAGGCAACAUUUCUCGACAGACUCGUGGGUUAAUGACAGACACAUCCACCACUCUCAGCUCAUUGACA